GUUGCAGAGUGCUGCUGAGGGCCAUUAGAAAAACGGUAACACACUUCUUAGUCUCUAAAAUGCCACAAGACAUGUGGUUGCUAAAGAAAGAUCAUCGAGGUGUCUCUCCUAGCUGAAAGCAACCAUGGGCUUUUUGUAGAUUUCCCAGGCUCUGGAUCAAAAAGGAGUCCACCACUGCAGAAUUGCAAAAAUCUACAGCACAGAAAGAUGCUUUUCUACUUUGCUGGGUUCAUUCUUAUGACAUGGCAGGCUUCUGAGAUGAGUAAAAAAAUCUCACUAUAUUCAAAUUGGAUUGUGGAAUCUCCUGGAAAAACAGUGGCAAUCCAGUGUAGCUUCCCAAGAGAAGAAUCUCAGUUCCCAGCAAUGUCAUGCUACAAGGAAAGGGAAGACAAGCACCUUUAUAAGAUUUAUGAUUGUACCAUAGGUGCAAAGUCAGAAGGAAAGUAUUCAUGUAGCACGGAUAAGCAGACCUACUACGCUCUAGUUAUUAGUAAUGUGAGCAGAAAUGACUCUGGAAUUUAUCACUGCUUCACCCCUAAACCUGGGUCUUAUGAAAUCUGUAACACAACUCAACUGAUCAUCACAAGUUUUUCUAGGCAAAGCCUUUCCAUGCUUGCACCUUCCAUUGGGGAGGAUGCUCAGGUGAAACACAGUAUCCCAUUACUCUGCCUGUUCUGGGAUGCAAAUCCUGCUUGGGAUAGUAUCUCCUGGAAUUUUGCUGGGGAAACAUCUCAGGAUGAGUAUAUUAACCCAACAUAUAGGCAAGAGCUUUUCAACAUAUGGAGCCUGAAGAUGAUUUCUUUGGCAAGAUGGAUCAACAGAACAUCUUUUAGUUGUUCAAGUCCAAAUGGAAACAUGACUUCUGAAGUUAUUAAAAAAGGAGCGUCUGCAAACACAGGGCAAUGUAAUCUCUUUUUAUAUUUUGGAGUACCUUGUAUCCUCCUCCUAUUUUCUGCAACCUUAUGCUUAAUCUUCAGAAAACAUCCUGCCCGAGGAACUGUACAGGAAUUAACUAAUCAAAUACUCAUGAGGAAUAUCCAUCAGGUAACCAGCAUUUCAAAACUAUGAGUCUUGUCAAUAUUUGGAAAAGUGCUUGUGAAAAAUAAGUAUGAAGUCUUCAGAUAAGCCAAUGUUUUCAUAAUGGGAAGUGAGAUUCAUCUUGGAUUAAGAAAUGGGGAAGAAGGAAUAUAAAGGGCUGUGGAACUGCAGAUUUAAAGUAACAGGCUGAUUAUUCAGAAUUCAGUUGCAGAAAUUGAAGUAUGGUCCAAAAGAAAUGGCUAGAACCCUGUGUUAAAUGUCUGUGUCCCUUUUAUAAGAUGAAAAAGCACUGAGAAGAAAAUAUAUUUCAGUUUGUAAAGAUGAUCUAUUUUGGGUUGCUAAUUGUAAAUCUUUGUA